rnacentral:rRNA from 1 species
UACGUAGGUGGCAAGCGUUGUCCGGAUUUACUGGGCGUAAAGCGCACGCAGGCGGUCUUGUAAGUUUGACGUGAAAGCUCCCGGCUUAACUGGGAGAGGUCGUUGAAGACUGCAAGACUUGAGGAAAUGAGAGGGGUGUAGAAUUCCCGGUGUAGUGGUGGAAUGCGUAGAUAUCGGGGGGAAUACCAGUGGCGAAAGCGGCACCCUAGCAUUUUUCUGACGCUCAUGUGCGAAAGCGUGGGGAGCGAACGGG